rnacentral:rRNA from 1 species
UACGAGGGGGGCGAGCGUUGUUCGGAAUUAUUGGGCGUAAAGGGCGCGUAGGCGGUGCGGUAAGUCACCUGUGAAACCUCUGGGCUCAACUCAGAGCCUGCAGGCGAAACUGCCGUGCUGGAGUGUGGGAGAGGUGCGUGGAAUUCCCGGUGUAGCGGUGAAAUGCGUAGAUAUCAAGAGGAACACCUGAGGUGAAGACGGGUUGCUGGGCUGACACUGACGCUGAAGCGCGAAAGCCAGGGGAGCAAACGGG